CAGUCGCCACGGUAAAACGUAGGGUGCAAGCGUUAAUCGGAAUUACUGGGCGUAAAGCGUGCGCAGGCGGUUAUAUAAGACAGAUGUGAAAUCCCCGGGCUCAACCUGGGAACUGCAUUUGUGACUGUAUAGCUAGAGUACGGCAGAGGGGGAUGGAAUUCCGCGUGUAGCAGUGAAAUGCGUAGAUAUGCGAAGGAACACCGAUGGCGAAGGCAAUCCCCUGGGCCUGUACUGACGCUCAUGCACGAAAGCGUGGGGAGCAAACAGGAUUAGAGACCCCCGUAGUCCCUGUCUCUUAUAC
rnacentral:rRNA from 1 species